rnacentral:rRNA from 1 species
CCUACGGGAGGCAGCAGUGGGGAAUAUUGCACAAUGGGGGAAACCCUGAUGCAGCGACGCCGCGUGAGUGAAGAAGUAAUUCGUUAUGUAAAGCUCUAUCAGCAGGGAAGAAAAUGACGGUACCUGAGUAAGAAGCACCGGCUAACUACGUGCCAGCAGCCGCGGUAAUACGUAGGGGGCAAGCGUGAUCCGGAUUUACUGGGUGUAAAGGGAGCGUAGACGGCAGUGCAAGUCUGGAGUGAAAGGCGGGGGCUCAACCCCCGGACUGCUCUGGAAACUGUACGGCUGGAGUGCAGGAGAGGUAAGUGGAAUUCCUAGUGUAGCGGUGAAAUGCGUAGAUAUUAGGAGGAACACCAGUGGCGAAGGCGGCUUGCUGGACUGUAACUGACGUUGAGGCGCGAAAGCGUGGGGAGCAAACAGGAUUAGAUACCCCAGUAGUC